rnacentral:lncRNA from 1 species
CUUUCUCUCUAGUUGGUUUUCAACUUCAGCCUUAUAGAUUUUAAAGUAGUCUAAAGCCUCAUCUUUAGUUUUUAGCAAGUAUACAUAGCAGAAUCUAGACGCAUCAUCAAUCAAUGUCAUGAAGUAUCUCUUGCCACCUUUUGUCAACACACCAUUCAUCUCACAAAGAUCAGAAUGUAUGAGUUCUAGAGGUGCCAGGUGUCUCUCCUCAGCAGCCUUAUGAGGCUUUCGAGGUUGCUUUGACUGCACAAAAUUAUGGCACUUAGAACCUUUGACUAUGGUGAUAUUCAAAAUUAAAAUCAUGGUGGAAGGCCGAGACAUAGAGCCAAAAUUUAUAUGAUACAAACGAGAAUGCCAGAUACUCACAAGAUCAUCAACAUUAGCGCAAAUAUGGUUCACUUAUUAUUGAAAUCUAACAGAGAAAAGCGGAACAAGCCUCCGCAAUCAUAGCCUUUACCAAUAAAUUGUCCAGACUUGGACACAACUAAUUUAUUGGACUCCAAAACUACCUUGAACCCAUCUCUACAUAGAAGGGUUCCGCUAACGAGAUUCUUGUGUAUAGAAGGGACAUGCUGCAUGUUCUUCAGUUGCACGAUCUUUCCCAAAGUAAACUUCAGAUCCACCGUGCCAGUGCCAUGAACAGAAGCAUGUGACCCAUUCCCCAUUAGGACGAAAGAAUCCUGGGCACCCUGAUAAGAAGAGAACAAAUUAAUGUUAGAACACACAUGAACAUUAGCACCAGUAUCAAGCCACCAACUAAGUGAUUGAAAUACUGAGAAGAUGUAACAUCCCAAUUUUCAACCCGAGGUUUGGAACCCUAAUCUAACCCCCCCUUCUUAUUACCUAUCCCGAAUCUCCCCUAGGUCUUCUCAUCAUAUGCAUACACUUUGUUUGAUUAUAAGCACCUCACUUAGAUUUUAUUUUCUAGCACCUAAGAUUAUCUAGUAAAUUAAUUGUUCAAAAGAAAAGGAUGUAAAAAUGGAAAUAGAAAUUGGAAAAUAAAAAGAAAAGGAGAAGCCUUUCUCUCCCCCUAGCUGGGUCGAUUCCAGCCCACGCCCGCGGCCGCUUUCCCCCUUCCUCGCUCGUGACUCCCCCCCUCGGCCCACCUCCGGCCCACUCCGUGCUUGCGCCCGCGCACCACUGACACGUUGUCCCCACUCGUCAGUCGCCUCCCCCUCGCCCUCACUCGAGACCACUCCCGCUGACAGGCUGACCCCACUAGUCAACCACCCCAUCGUCCUCACCGUGUACGGCUUCGCCGCGGUCACCUCCGACCACCGUCCUCUUCCUCGCCUCGUCCCCUCGCCCAUCCCCUCGCCGCACAGGGAAGUUUGGCACAGCCUCGUCCUCGUCGCUGUGGACGCGUCCUUGCACGGCACCGCCCCGCCGUGCGGUCUCGUCGUCGCCGCUGUGCGGCAUUAACUCCGGCGUUGUGCGACCUCACCGGCGUCCGCCUAGCUCCGCCGCUCCCCUCCCCUCGGGUGCCUAUAAAAGGGUCGCAUCGAGCACCCCUUUGCCCCGCACCGACCUCAGCCACCCAUCUCCCACUCGCCCGAGCUCAAUCGCGCUAGCGCCACCGUCUUCCUCCACUCCGGUAAGCCCUUCCCCCUCUUUUCCCUCCCCCUCUGGUGGUUCAGCGAGCAAUUAGCUAGGCUCAUCAAUUUUGCCACACCGCCGCGAGCUUGGAACACCACCCCCUACCCCAAUCCCCACGCGAACCUCACCGGCGACGACUCUCGCCGCGGAGCUCCGCCACCUCCCUGCGGUCAGCCCUCUCCCAACCUCCUCUGGCCAAAUUGGGCCCACCCCUAAGCUCGCCAGCCCCUCCUUGUGCUAGGGCGCCUGCCCGUUGCCCAAGAACUGGGUCGCCGGCGGCGAAUCGCCGUCGAGACCACCGACGGCCGGUUUUCUCCCUCGCGGACGGCCGGUUCGCCCCGCCCCGUCGACCGUUGGCGCCGUCUGCCCCUCCCGCUCUCUCUGACGCGUGGGCCCCAUGGAAACGGCGUCGCCCUCGUGCGCCCGCGCCGUUUUCCGCCAUGGGCUGUAGCUGGGCCGGCGCGAUCGCGCCCGUGCGCUCCCCUACGCCCGGCUGGGCCAGAUUCCCCCCCCCCCGGCCCACCAGAGCCUAAAUCCUUUUUCUUUUUCCUUUUUCAGCCUUUUUCUCCUUUAGUUAUUACAUCUCAAUAUUUUAUGCACCAAAAAUUAUCAAAACACUUUCUAAAGUCACAUGUAAUAAUAAUAUUAGAAAAUGACACACUCCACUUAGUAAACCACUAUUGAUGUAUUGUUUAUUGCCUGUUUUACUAGAAGAAGCGGGGACCGUCGAUCCGGAACCCGUAGCCCCGGAAGAAGGACCAGAGCCUAAUCUCCCGGAGGUAGACCUUUUGUGCCAGGAAAGCUUCGAUGAAGGCAAGUUCAUCCUUCCCUUGAUGCAUAAAUUACCUAUUCUUUCUACCACUACCUAGGCCAGGAUUACAAGGUGGAAUUAAUGCAUUGUGAGUAGAGAGAUAGCCCGCAUUAACAUAUAUCUUUUGGAUACAAAAUGUGGGAUGGGAGAAAGGGCAGUGUGUUUCUUCAAUCGAGAUUUUAAAAGAAAAAGAAGGAAUGUGCGAUGAAGGGUAUUCACCCUCGUCACCUUGUGAGUGGGAUGAUCAGGGACUCCCUGGUUUAGGGGAGGGCCUAAGGUGUUGGCUCAGCUGGUUUAGGCGUGAGCAGAAGGAUUGUCCCCUCAUAUAAGGACCGGUUUGUCAUCUUUCACUACUUGUACUCAUAAAUAGUACAACCACUCGAGACUGUGUGGGCAGUCACUCAAUCUGAACUCGUACGGUCCAACCCCAGGGUUAUGAAGGCUGGGGAGCACCGGGAGGAUAAGGAGGGGUAUUGUUUUGUCCGGUUUGGACAUGGAAGUGGCCUGACUCCUUCCGGUAUAAUUGUUAAGGUUAGGACGUGCGAGGAAGGAAAGAGAUUCGGCAUUCGGGUCUCACGACUAUGAGAUCGCAGAAACCGGACUAGUGGGUAAAGUGUACCCUUCUGCGCAGAGUUGAAACCUAUUCGAAUAGUCCGUGUCCACUGGUAUGGACGAGUCUGGUGUGGUAUGACAAUUAGAGUUUUUACAACCUCUGUGAAUAGGGAAAUGUGUGUGUAAGUGCGUAUUGAAAAAAUAAAACAAGGCCACGGGAGCGGGAAGCUCAGUGGUGGUUGAGUAUUGUGUUAUUUUUAUUUCCUUGGGAAAAACCCUACAUAAACUGCCUUUCUCUGAGAAAAAGAAGAGUGACUUCAACUCCACCAUAUAAAGCAUGUAUGUUAUAGGUCUCUUUCUCUUUACGGGAGUGGGAUGGGCUUGCAGAAUACCUAGUGUAUUCACCCAGAUUUAUUUAUGUUUUUCAGCAGCCGAAGACUUCUUUUCUGCUAUGCUUGAUUGAGAGGGCUGUGUCUGCACCCAGUUCUGCCUGUGGUUUGGGCUAGUGUACCUUCUACUGCGUUUUAUAUUCUAGCUCUCUCAGAGCUUGUACCCCGGUAUUAUAAUAACCUUUAUUUGAACUCUGUACUAUUUGAAGUAAGAAAUGUGGUUACUAGCCUCCUGGGACUAGUAAUUGUAUCACAUUUGAGUCCCAAAGGAUCGGGACGCUUCAGGUGGUAUCGGAGCCAUAGGACUGGCCGUAGGUCGUAGCCCUGACCUUAAAAGUUGCCUUAAAAUAAAAUACCUCUUACCCCAAGAAAAAUCUUCUUCCUUUCCCUCGAUAUUAACAGACCCUUCUUUUCCUAUUCCAGAUGGAAGACUCUCUGGUCAUUAGGACAUCCUACUGCUCAGAGGUGGAGGGGUUCCCACAUCUGUUGCGAAGUUGUGCGCUUCGCAUGGGGAUCCGCAAGAAACCAGAAUAUGUCUGGAAGGAGUAUCUCGAGAAUGGAAUGGAGAAAUGCUCUAUGGCAGUCUACCUGGGAGAAAGCCGAAACUACCCGAACCAUCCUUCUUUCCAUGUCACUUUCACCGGACACCGCUUCCCAGAUACUUGCCAGAACAUUGCCCGAAAAGCCCUCUGACAACUAUGCCAGAACUACAGCAGAGUAAUCUUUGAAACCCCCCUUCGCUACUUUCCACCCAGCAACAAAAAUACCCCCGCCUGGAGGAAAAGACUUCAGGCCCUGUCAGGGAGAGACCCUACCGAGGAUGACCCCACCAUCGUCUACAUGGCUGGAUACCUUCACACUCUCGAUAACCAAUAUGAUGACCUUGCCUCCCACUGCACUCACCUAAACUCCCGGGUGGAAAGCCUUGAGCAACAAGUCAGGGAACUUACAAGGGAAAAGGCGUCCCUUCAAGAGAGCCUCGGGAUAGCGGAAGGCGAGGAAACCAACACCCGUGAGGCCUACCGAACUCUGAAGAUGGAUUACGACAAGAAGCUAAAGAAGCUCGCCCCCGCAAGAAAAAUCCGCAAGAAGACCAGAAGCUAAGGAUGCCAAACUGAGCAGAAGGAAGAAGCCCCUCCAGCCCUACCUCCUACCAGAAUAGGGAACUCGUCCGACACCGAGGAAAUGUCCCUAGCCAGCCUUGAUGACCUUCUCAAGGAAUUUGGGGACACUUUAGAGAAGGAGUUCGGGAGUACCCUAGAUAGCACUCAUGUGUAAUGAACUUAUGGUAGUUGUAUGCUGUAAUGAACUUGUGUAAUGAAUAAAGUAACUUGUUGAAAAAAAAUUUGGCAUGUGCAUGGUAGUAACUCUUUUCCCCUAGCAGAUGGCUUCGGAUAAAACCACGCCUACCGCCUCCGGGAUUGGAGCAGGGUUUCCCCUAGGAGCAGAAGGAGAAGCUGGCGGAGAAGGGAGUGAGACCCACCUCCCCGCACCUCCGGAACUACCACUAGAUUUGGCCCAAGUUCUAGCCAAUCAAACCUGACUCAUUGAAGUCCUCACUAGAAGUCUGGAGAACCAGCGCCCAGGUGGUGGAAGACCACAGGACAGGAUGGGAGAAUUUCUGAGACUCAAGCCUCCCACGUUCGCUGGAUCCAGCAAUCCCCUCGAUGCCGACAACUGGCUGCGCACGAUCAAGAGGAAAUUGGAAGCCAUCGGAUGCCCCGAAAAUCAGCGUGUUCAAUUGGCUACUCGUCAACUUUCUAGGAUGGCCCUAGCAUGGUGGGAUACCUUCAGCGCGGCCGUCAGGGACACUACCUGGGCAGAAUUUGAAACUGCUUUCCGUGAGCACCAUGUACCCCAGGGGAUUGUUCAACUCAAGGAUGAUGAAUUCCGGGAACUAACUCAAGGUGGAAGAUCUGUCAGUGAGUACGUGCACAAAUUCACAGAGUUGGCUCGUUACGUGCCUGACGAUGUCAGCACCGAAACUAAGAAGAUGGCCCGUGUUCUGAAAGGGCUAAGACCAGAACUCAAGCCCAUCCUCGCCAGCCAAGAUUUUCUCAGCUUCUCGCACCUCUCCAACAAAGCCAUACAAGUGGAAAGGGCAAAAGAAGAAGAAAAAGGGCACCUCAAGAGGAAAUUCUAGGUUCUCCGAGCUCAGCAGCAAGACCGACACCAGAGAGCUCGAUCCUUCGGGCUUCCACCCAAGGGACCGAGCUUCAAUAGACCAGUUGGACCCACUUUGUCACGUUUCAGCCAGCAGAGUCAGAGUUCCUUUCAGGCCACCUUGGUUGCAAGCAACCAACCGCCAGCAAAUGCCUAUUGGCACUGCGGAGACCCCAGUCACUUCAAGAAUAACUGCCCCCAGUUGAAGGCACCCGGACCUACCUACUCCAACUCGGUGAAUGGCCCCAAGAAUACCUCGGCACCCGCCUCCAAGGCACUCCCCUCCAACAGUCAGCAGAGCAGGACCCAGUAUCAGGGCAGAGCACGAGUUAACCACGUCGAUGCUCAAGAGGCCCAGCAAGCCCCGGGAGUAGUGCUCGGUGAGUUCCUUGUCGAAUUUACUCCCGCUUUUGUACUUUUUGAUUCAGGAGCAUCCCAUUCAUUUAUAGCCACUAGUUUUGUGGAAAAACAUGGCAUCCCCUCUACACCCUUAGAAAUCCCUUUGGUCACUCGAACCCCGGGGUCAGACCUUCUAUGCCAGCUCAAAUGCUCCCAAGUCAGAAUUCUUUUAAGUGGGGUAGUGUUCUUGGCAGACUUAACCGUCUUGCCAUCCCAAGGGAUUGAUGUGAUCCUAGGAAUGGAUUGGCUAACUAAGCACAAGGGCAUCAUAAGUUGCGCAAACAAGACCGUCCUUCUCACUGACCGCCAAGGAAAAGCAGUUUCUUGUCAGGCCCAACCGCCCACCAACGAUCCAAUGAUGUUUAAUCUAACAAUAGAAAAUAUAUUCGUAAUAGAAGAAUUCAUGGAUGUAUUUUCGGAAGAGUUGCCUGGAAUGCCGCCUGAAAGAGGAGUGGAGUUCUAUAUAGAUCUCAUUCCUGGCACUGUGCCCAUCGCAAAGAGACCAUACCGCAUGGCCCCCACAGAGUUAGCAGAAUUAAAACUCCAGAUUGCAGAGCUACAAUAAAAAGGGUACAUCCGUCCCAGUUCGUCUCACUGGGGAGCACCCAUCCUUUUCGUCACCAAAAAGGAUGGGAGUAUGAGAAUGUGUAUUGAUUACCGAUCAUUAAAUGAAGUUACAAUCAAAAAUAAGUAUCCACUCCCUCGGAUCGACGAUCUCUUCGACCAGCUACAGGGAGCCAAAUAUUUCUCCAAGAUAGACCUAAGGUCAGGAUAUCACCAACUGAGAAUCAAGGAAGCAGAUAUACAGAAGACUGCAUUCGUCACCAGAUACGGACAAUAUGAGUUCACAGUAAUGCCAUUUGGGCUAACGAACGCACCCGCCUUUUUCAUGAACCUCAUGAAUAAGAUAUUCAUGGAAGAAUUGGAUAAGUUUGUCGUAGUCUUCAUCGACGACAUCCUUAUCUAUUCCAAGAAUCGCAAGGACCAUGAGUGUCACCUUCGAAUCGUCCUCGGAAGACUCAGGGCACAUCAACUCUAUGCUAAACUCAGCAAGUGUGAAUUCUGGUUAGAAAAGAUAUCCUUCCUUGGGCAUAUCUUGACUGCAGAAGGAAUAGAAGUAGACCCAUCCAAGGUAGAAGCAGUUUCAAAAUGGAAGCAGCCAUCCAACGUCAGUGAAAUGCGAAGCUUUCUGGGAAUGGCAGGGUAUUACCGCCGCUUUAUCAAGGGAUUCUCCAGCAUAGCAAGACCUAUGACCAAACUUCUCAAGAAGGACAAUAAGUUUGUGUGGACCCCAAAGUGUGAGGAAAGUUUCCAGAUCAUAAAGGAAAAGCUCACGACCGCGCCAGUUUUGACACUACCAGAUAUACACCAAGAUUUUGUCAUCUUCUGUGAUGCUUCAAGGCAAGGCUUAGGGUGUGUCCUGAUGCAAAAUGAGAAAGUUAUUGCUUAUGCAUCCCGCUUACUCAAGCCGCAUGAGCAGAAUUACCCCACCCACGAUUUGGAAUUGGCAGCCAUAGUGCAUGCCCUAAAAAUAUGGAGGCACUAUCUAAUUGGGAACAAAUGCCACAUCUUCACUGAUCACAAGAGUCUGAAGUAUAUCUUCACUCAGCCAGACCUCAACCUCCGUCAAAGAAGAUGGCUUGAACUGAUCAAAGAUUAUGACCUCAAGAUCCAUUACCACCCCGAAAAGGCCAACGUGGUAGCAGACGCCCUCAGCCAAAAACCUUUCGGCAUAAAGGGAACCAACUUUUUAGAAGAUUGGAAGAAGGAAUCAGCUCAGCUGAAUGCGUGUCUGGGAGACAACAGUAGCCUAGAAGUCAAGUCAAUGCUAGAAGACCUCAUAUGCAAGGCUCAACGCCUGGACACGGAGACAUCAAGGCUUAUGGAAAAAGCUCGCAAAGAGCAACUUCUGGACCUUAGGACAGAUGAACAAGGAGUCAUUUGGUUCAAGAACCGUCUGUGUGUACCAAAGGGAAAGGCACGGGAAGUCCUGCUCAAUGAAGCUCACAACUCAGCCUACUCCAUCCACCCAGAAACCACCAAGAUGUACCUAGACCUCAAAACCAGAUACUGGUGGAGAGGGAUGAAAAAAGAGAUAGCAUAGUAUGUGGCCCGGUGUGACACCUGCCAACGAACAAAGGCCGAACACCAGAAACCUGCAGGCCUACUGCAACCCCUCCCAGUGCCUGAAUGGAAGUGGGAGGAAAUAGGCAUGGAUUUUGUAACCGGACUGCCCGAACGCAAAAAAGGGAUGACUCUAUCUGGGUAAUAAUAUACCGUCUCACCAAGGUGGCCCACUUCAUUCCAGUGAAAACCACUUUUGGAGGAGCCACCCUUGCCCGGAUAUAUCUUAAAGAGAUAGUCAGGCUCCAUGGUAUUCCUCAGAAGAUAGUGUCAGAUAGAGGGACGCAGUUCACCUCAAAAUUUUGGAAGAGCCUUUAGCAAGCUAUGGGCACCAAGUUAGAUUUCAGCACCGCCUAUCACCCUCAAUCAGAUGGUCAAACGGAAAGGGUCAACAAGGUCCUCGAAGAUUUACUAAGAGCCUAUGUGUUGACGUUUGAUAGAAAUUGGGAGUCUAGUUUGCCGUAUGCCGAAUUCUCAUAUAACAACAGCCAUCAGGCCAGUAUCAAGAUGUCACUGUUUGAAGCAUUGUAUGGACGAAAGUGCCAGACCCCCUAAUGUGGUCCAAUGUAGGGGAAAGGACACUGGAAGGACCCGACUUUGUUAAAGAGGUCGAAGAGAAAGUUGCCCUGAUCCGCAAGAGGUUACUUGAAGCUCAGAGUCGACAGAAAAGUUAUGCAGACAACAGACGGAGGGAACUCAGAUUUGAGGAAGGAGACUUCGUAUACCUCAAGGUCUCCCUGAUGCGUGGGGUCAAAAGGUUCCAAAUGAAAGGAAAGCUAGCACCGCAUUUUGUUGGCCCCUAUCCCAUCAUUAGCAGAGUGGGACCCGCAGCAUACCGCCUUGAACUACCAGAGUCCAUGUCGGAUAUUCACAAUGUGUUUCAUGUGUCCCAGCUCCGUAAGUUCCUGCAAGUACCAGAGAACCACAUCGAGGCAGAGACAAUUCAGAUUCAAAAAGAUCUCCAGUACCGGGAAAAGCCAAUAAAGAUUCUUGACUCAGGGGUCCGAAAGACCCGCAACUCAGAAGUAAGACUCUAUAAGGUUCAGUGGAGCAAAGAAGGAGAAGAGGAAGCUACCUGGGAAAGUGAGGACUCUCUGAGGAGGUAAUACCCUUACCUUUUCUCGAGCCCCGUCUGAAUCUCGAGGGCGAGAUUCCUUUAAGUGGGGUAGGUUUGUAACAUCCCAAUUUUCAACCCGAGGUUUGGAACCCUAAUCUAACCCCCCCCCCUUCUUAUUACCUAUCCCGAAUCUCCCCUAGGUCUUCUCAUCAUAUGCAUACACUUUGUUUGAUUAUAAGCACCUCACUUAGAUUUUAUUUUCUAGCACCUAAGAUUAUCUAGUAAAUUAAUUGUUCAAAAGAAAAGGAUGUAAAAAUGGAAAUAGAAAUUAGAAAAUAAAAAGAAAAGGAGAAGCCUUUCUCUCCCCCUAGCUGGGCCGAUUCCAGCCCACGCCCGUGGCCGCUUUCCCCCUUCCGCGCUCGCGACUCCCCCCCCCCCCCCUCGGCCCACCUCCGGCCCACUCCGCGCUCGCGCCCGCGCACCACUGACACGUCGUCCCCACUCGUUAGUCGCCUCCCCCUCGCCCUCGCUCGCGACCGCUCCCGCUGACAGGCUGGCCCCACCAGUCAGCCACCCCAUCGUCCUCGCCGCGGUCACCUCCGACCACCAUCCUCUUCCUCGCACCGUCCCCUCGCCCAUCCCCUCGCCGCACAGGGAAGUUUGGCACCGCCCCGUCCUCGCCGCUGUGGCCGCGUCCUUAGACGGCACCACCCCGCCGUGCGGUCUCGUCGUCGCCGUUGUGCGGCAUUAACUCCGGCGCUGUGCAACCUCACCGGCUUCCGCCUAGCUCCGCCGCUCCCCUCCCCUCGGGCGCCUAUAAAAGGGUCGCCCCGAGCACCCCUUUGCCCCGCACCGGCCUCAGCCACCCAUCUCCCACUCGCCCGAGCUCAAUCGCGCUAGCGCCGCUGGCUUCCUCCACUCUGGUAAGCCCUUCCCCCACUUUUCCCUCCCCCUCUAGUGGUUCAGCGAGCAAUUAGCUAGGCCCAUCAAUUUUUCCACACCGCCACGAGGUUGGAACACCACCCCCUACCCCAAUCCCCGCGCGAACCUCACCGGCGACGACUCCCGCCGUGGAGCUCCGCCACCUUCCCGCGGUCAGCCCUCUCCUAGCCUCCUCUGGCCAAAUUGAGCCCGCCCCUAAGCUCGCCAGCCCCUUCUCGUGCUAGGGCGCCUGCCCGUUGCCCAAGAACCGGGUCGCCGGCGGUGAAUCGCCGUCGAGCCCACCGACGGCCGAUUUUCUCCCCCGCGGACGGCCGGUUCGCCCCGCCCCGUCGACCGUUAGCGCCGUCUCCCCCUCCCGCUCUCUCUGACGCGUGGGCCCUGCGGAAACGGCGUCACCCCUCGCGCGCCCGUGCCGUUUUCAGACCCCCCCCUCUGGCCCACUAGAGCCUAAAUCCUUUUUCUUUUUCCUUUUUCAGCCUUUUUCUCCUUUAGUUAUUACAUCUCAAUAUUUUAUGCACCAAAAAUUAUCAAAAUGCUUUCUAAAGUCACAUGUAAUGAUAAUAUUAGAAAAUGACACACUCCACUUAGUAAACCACUAUUGAUGUAUUGUUUAUUGCCUGUUUUACUAUAAGAAGCGGGGACCGUCGAUCCGGAACCUGUAGCCCCGGAAGAAGGACCGAAGCCCGAUCUCCUGGAGCUAGACCUUUUGUGCCAGGAAAGCUUCGACGAAGGCAAGUCCAUCCUUCCCUUGAUGCAUAAAUUACCUAUUAUUUCUACCACUACCUAGGCCGGGAUUACAGGGUGGAAUAAAUGCAUUGUGAGUAGAGAGAUAGCCCGCAUUAACAUAUAUCUUUUGGAUACAAAAUGUGGGAUGGGAGAAAGGGCAGUGUGUUUCUUCAAUCAAGAUUAUAAAAGAAAAAGAAGGAAUGUGCGAUGAAGGGUAUUCACCCUCGUCACCUUGUGAGUGGGAUGAUCAGGGACUCCCUGGUUUAGGGGAGGGCCUAAGGUGUUGGCUCAGCUGGUUUAGGCGUGAGCAGAAGGAUUGUCCCCUCAUAUAAGGACCGGUUUGUCAUCUUUCACUACCUGUACUCAUAAAUAGUACAACCACUCGAGACUGUGUGGGCAGUCACUCAAUCCGAACUCGUACGGUCCAACCCCAUGGUUAUGAAGGCUGGGGAGCACCGGGAGGAUAAGGAGGGGGAAUGUUUUGUCUGGUUUGGACAUGGUGGUGGCCUGACUCCUUCUGGUAUAAUCGUUAAGGUUAGGACGUGCGAGGAAGGAAAGAGAUUCGGCAUUCGGGUCUCACGAUGGUGAGAUCGCAGAAACUGGACUAGUGGGUAAAGUGUACCCCUCUGCGCAGAGUUGAAACUUAUUCGAAUAGUCUGUGUCCACUGGUUUGGACGAGUCUGGUGUGGUAUGACAAUUAGAGUUUUUACAACCUUCGUGAACAGGGAAAUGUGUGUGUAAGUGUGUAUUGAAAAAAUAAAACAAGGCCACGGGAGCGGGAAGCUCAGUGGUGGUUGAGUAUUGUGUUAUUUUUAUUUCCUUGGGAAAAACCCUACAUAAACUGCCUUUCUCUGAGAAAAAGAAGAGUGACUUCAACUCCACCAUAUAAAGCAUGUAUGUUAUAGGUCUCUUUCUCUUUACGGGAGCGGGAUGGGCUUGCGGAAUACCUAGUGUAUUCACCCAGAUUUAUUUAUGUUUUUCAGCAGCCGAAGACUUCUUUUCUGCUAUGCUUGAUUGAGAGGGCUGUGUCUGCACCCAGUUCUGCCUGUGGUUUGGGCUAGUGUACCUUCUACUGCGCUUUAUAUUCUGGCUCUCUCAGAGCUUGUACCUCGGUAUUGUAAUAACCUUUAUUUGAACUCUGUACUAUUUGAAGUAAGAAAUGUGGUUACUAGCCUCCUGAGACUAGUAAUUGUAUCACAUUUGAGUCCCAAAGGAUCGGGACGCUUCAGAAGAUGAAAGGUAAAUUAACAUACCCUUUGCCUUCCUCAUUGCUAGAGAUCACUGUGUUGACAUUGCCCUUUUUGCCACGGCAAUCCGCUCGAUCAGGACAAUCCUUGGCAAAAUGACUCAUCUUGCCACAUGUGAAACAUGUCAGUUUAGCCUUGUUCUUCUUCUUCUUGAAGUUGGUAGUUUUGUUGGGCUUGCUAGAUUUUGUCUUUCCUUUGACCUUGUGGUUCUUUUGAACCAUGUUGGCGCUGGAGUGGCCCUCGCCUCCUUUAGAUCUCGUGUCCUUAGCCCGAGCUUUCUCCUCAACAUCUAGAGACGCUAUCAGAUUUUUAAUUGAUAUCUCCUGUCUCUUAUGUUUCAGAGAUGUGGCGAAGUUCCUCCAUGUAGAAGGCAACUUUGCAAUAAUGCAUCCAGCCACAAAUCGGUCGGGAAGGACUAUCUUAAGGUGGUCGAGCUCCUUGGCUAUACAUUGUAUUUCAUGAGCUUGUUCUACAAUAGAGCGAUGAUCAACCAUCUUAUAAUCAUGAAAGCUCUCCAUGAUAUACAAGUCACUGCCAGCAUCUGAUGCACCAAACUUAGUAGUAAGUGCAUCCCACAACUCUUUCUCGUCUGUGUGGGCGCUAAGAACUGCUCCCGUAAAGAUAGCAUUGGCAUGGUCGUACUCUUUCUCCUGUUCAGGAGUCAGUCCGCCCUCAGGUUUGCCUUUACUAAUAUGGAACACAUUCAUAGCAGUAAGCCAGAGCGUGGCCUUGACUUGCCACCUCUUGAAGUGCAUACCAUUGAAUUUUUCUGGCUUCAGCGCGUCGGUAAAAGCAGCCAUAGAAAAACUAGGAAAUUGUCUACACUAAGGUUUUUGGGUUGAUACAAUAUUAGACAAUUUCUAGAUUAAAUUCCGAAUAUAAAUCAUGACUAAAUCAGAAGAACUGAAGUAUAAAGUCAAAACAGAUGAUGCGUACUAAUCAGACAUACCGAUAGAUGGCGCGGGCCAGAAUCAGCAGGGUUGACGACAUCGAACAGCGGGGCCGAUGACGUCUACGCAGCAGGGUUCGACUAGAAGAUCGCGAGCAGUCGCGUGAGGACGCUUCCCAAAAACCUGAUUCGCCCUCUCCCAGUGCAGGAUCUCGAAGGCGAAGGGUUCCGGAGACAUGCUCUCCCAAUCGCAGAUGCACGUCGGCGGUCAGGACGAAGAGAACUACGAAGGCGGCGCAGUUGUGAACAGAGGCGAAAGCGAAAACUGGGAUGAGUUGGAUGCUGACUGCCAUGUGCCUUAUAUAGGGCCGAGUCUGCGAACCGAUAGCUAUCUGCAAUCCGAUCUGCACGCGAAAAUCUCGCGUUCCGUUUAGAUCUUUAUAGCGAUCGGUUAGGAUUUUAAACUUCAUAGCUAAGCAACCAAAAAAUAAAACGGCAAAAGAAAGCCGUGCCCUCGCAAGGCGAGGUGCCAGAUUUUGGCGGACCAUUCACUGAAAGGGCAUACUGUAUAGCAACUCCGUCUAUAUUGUUUUAACGUAGCACUAUAGCCGGUCUCAAGCCCCCCUAAAAGAUGAGAUUUUUUAAUAGGUUUGUUGAGGCAAUGUUAAACUUAGCCAUUUUAUCAGAGAUGAAAUCCGUAAGAGAUCCAUUGAUGCAUAAUUAACCCUUUCAGUAAUGCAUCAUAUAACGGAAUCUAGGUACGGUGUUAAAUGGAUAAGGGUCAGGUCAGCAUCCCUUAAUGACAUGUGACGUCACAACCUCGCUAUGGUGUCAAGUGAGCGAGGAUCAGAUCACUAGUUCCUUAGUACCGCAUCGCAUCGAUACCCGGAUACAGUGGAAAAUAUGCAAGGGGCUUCACAUCACUACCAGAUGUGAAGGGUAUGGAAGCUACUCGAACCAACUAGGAUCCAUUUAGAUAGUUGGAAUGUAGGGCCGCUUACGUAUGAGUUAAGAGAGUUUGUUGAGAUAGCAACUAGGAGACGUGUAAAUGUUUUGAGUGCAGGAGACUAAAUGAAAUAGCCAGAAGGCGAAGUAGAUAAACAAUACUGGAUUCAAGCUUUGGUACACAUGGACAACUGCGAAUAGAACUCAUGCGUUGCGACGAUAUACCAAUCAUAUUUCAUACCAAUCAUGUUUUGAGGUGGUUCAUGAAGGAUAUGGGUAUAGUAGUAAAAAUUAGGAGGGAGAGAGUCUUGGACUUUCUGGUAACUUUUGACCUAUUGAUAUCCAACACUUUCUUUAGGAAGAUAGACUCCUAGUUACUUAUAAUAGUGCUCAAAACUAGCCAAAUUGACUUUGUCCUCACAAGGAUAAAGAAUAAACGAGUACGUUUAGAUUAUAAAGUGAGUUGUCUCUCAACGUAAGUUUGUGGUGGCGUAUUUUAUUUUAGCCCGUAGGGAUAAAACAAGGCAAGAUUGUAAGAAUAAAGUUAUGGAAACUGAAAGGGGAGAAGACAAAAGUCUUCGAGUAAAUAACCAUCAAAGAGGGUACUUGAAAGGAAGAGGAUACACAGAAAAACAUGUAAAAGAAGAUGACAAACUAUAUUCACGAGGUAGCCUUAGAGAUAAACUAUAUUCACGAGGUAGCCUUAGAGAUGUGUGGAGUAACUAAAGGGAGUGGAGGAAGCUAAAGAAACUUGGUGAUGGAAUAAAGACAGUUUAUUGUGUUAUUAAGGAGAAUAAAAUGCUAUAGAUGUUUGUAUCAUGACAAGGGUGUGCAACAUAGAAGUACAAGGUAGUAAAAAAACUGCAAAACGAGAUGUAAGUGUGCACCGGAUCCAGUUGGAUGACUCUUUGGCUUUGUGCACAGGAUCCAAAAAAUCUAGGUAUUAAAAGAGAUGAAAUAGGUUAAGAUGAGGGACCCUAAUGGUAUUCCAAUUGAGAUAUGACAUGCUGUAGUUAUCUUCUGACUCAAGAACAAGAUAUCUAACUAGUGGAGAAAUGCCGAUCUAAAAAAUAAGUGAGAUAUUUUAAGUAAAAUGCAGUAACUUGGUAUGUCCGUCCAUACAAAACCGUCCUUCCUGCAACGAUCAACUUGACAUGUCGAAUCUCGAAAUUGAUUCAUGUGUGCUCACAAAUUGGAUUCAUCGCCUCACCAUAACAGACAGAAGGCUCACAAAUUUGGAGCCACAUACUCGUACAGCAUAACAUAUAUAUAUAUAGGCAUAUUCGAUUUCAUAAGCAAGAUAAGAUAUUACAACUCCAAACAAGAUAUUACAACUACAAACACAUCCUUUCCGAUGGCCAAAUUUAUAACACUAACAAGAAGCAAAUUUAUAACACUGACAAGAAGAGCAAACCAUGACAAGGAUGAUUUAUGAAUAGAUAUACCAAUACGAGAUAGACAGCGGCACGACGACAGAAAUUGGCUCUCUCCCGCCGGCUGAGGCUCAGAUUCUCAGAACCCGAUGGGCUGCAUCGGGGGGAAGGACGGCUGCCAGGGGCGGAGCAUGGGGUCGUCGGUGACCAUCUCCGGGAUGUCGACGGCGGCGCCGGCCAUCUGGAGCACCUCGAGGACGCCGCCCAGCGACUGCAGGCGGCCGGCCAGCUCGGCGUGGCGGGCGCGCAGCACCGCGUUGUCGCCGUCCACCCUGCCCAGGUCGCGCUCCAGCGCCGCGGUGCGGGCCUGCGUCGCCGCGUUCUCCGCCUGCAGGCGGGCCACCUCCGCCACCAGCUCCUCCAGCCGCUGCUGCUUCCGCGCGCGCGACCGCCGCGCCGACUCCCUGUUGGACAGCAUCCGCUUCCGCUUGCGCUCGUCCGUCGUGUCGUUGCUGUCGGGGCUCGAGCUCCGGCGUGACGACGACAUGGAUGCUUGUCUUGUCGGAUUGAAUCUGUUUGGUGGGGGGUGGGGUGGGGGGAGGAUGGGGAGAAACAGGAGCCCUAGAGAUGGAUUCGAAAGACUAUCUCAGAGAGAAAGAGAGAGGGAGAGACGGCGAAGGAUCAGCAGUUGGAGAGGGGCGAUGCGUUCAUGAGAAGACGUAGAACCAGUAGAGGAAGGCGACGGAGAAGGAGUGGGAGCGGCGGAUACGGAGCACGCUCAGCUUCAUCGGAGCACGGCGGCCGUCAGAGGAACUGGUGGGUAAACAUGGGGGUGGGGACGGUGUGCUCCUCGGACGGACGGAUCUACGCGGGGACAGGAGGAGGGACCGGGGAACAAGAAUUCGAGGAAACCAGAGGGGCCGGCUGCAAGAGUUCCUUGAGGGAAAGAAGAGUACUGGACUUGGACGGCUCGCAGAUCGAAAGAAACAAGAAAAAAGAGAGGAGCUGCGAGGACCUGAAUGUAAGAAAAAGAGAGGGGGCAGGGACUUAGCUGAAAGAGAGGAGGAUGGCAAAGGAGAGACACUCCUUAUCUUUUAUCCGGAGAUGGGGAAGG